rnacentral:rRNA from 1 species
UACAGAGGGUGCGAGCGUUAAUCGGAAUUACUGGGCGUAAAGCGCGCGUAGGCGGCUUUGCAAGUCGGGUGUGAAAUCCCCAGGCUUAACCUGGGAACUGCAUUCGAGACUGCAUUGCUAGAGUAUGGGAGAGGGAAGUGGAAUUUCCGGUGUAGCGGUGAAAUGCGUAGAUAUCGGAAGGAACAUCAGUGGCGAAGGCGACUUCCUGGACCAUUACUGACACUGAGGCACGAAAGCGUGGGGAGCGAACAGG